rnacentral:tRNA from 1 species
GGGGCUAUAGCUCAGCUGGAAGAGCGCCUGCUUUGCACGCAGAAGGUCAGCGGUUCGAUCCCGCUUAGCUCCACCA